UCUUUUACAGGAUGGUUUUGAAGACUGAGUUGAAGGGAUAUAGCACCCACAAAACCACCUCAUUCUCCUCUUGCUCUUCCUAUUUCUGCAACAUUAAUUAUCUCUGUUUUCUCCUCCUCCCUGUCUUCCUUUCUAAAUGUUUGGUCUUUCAAUUCUCCCCUUAGGUCCCUCACUGUUGCUCCCUUUCUCUCCAAGUCCCUCUUCCAUGCCUCUCUCUGUUUUUCUCUGCCUCUCUCUCUUCUGUGUACUUGAACUCUGCUCUAACAUGACCUUAUGUUUGGCUCUGCUUCUUUCCAGUUGUCCCCAAAUCUUACUUAGGAGUAGGUCUGAGAUGUACCUGCAGUAUUUCUUCUACACAUUUUUUUAAGCAAAACCGAAUACCAGUUGGGUGCAAGAGGGAAUCUUGAAUUAAACAAACGACUUGGCAAGCAUUUUUUCAGAGUUAAUUUGAAUUAUUUAGAAUGUCUUCUUGGGGAAGUGGCAUUUUGUCAACAUAUUUUAAAAAUAUAUAUUCAAGGAUGUUCUAGUGUAUUGGGACUAAUAUAUUCUCUGCAUCAUGCAUUUUUAUAGCAUUUAAUUGAACAUUUCCACAGAUAAUGUUGCCAUCCCUUCUUUCUUUCAUUUGAGAAGUAGGGGAAAAUAAUGUUUUAAAAACAUUCGUUGUUACAUUUAAUCAUACUCCAGACACAUUUUUGGUUGUUUUAUUGAGAGAGUGACUUUGCAUAUAACAAAAUCAAUCACUUUAUAAAUUAUUUUCAUUUAUAUUUUACAGUUCUAUGAACUUGACUAUGAGUGCAAAGAGCUUAUUCCUUUAAAAGGAACAGUUCCUUGGGUCUAUACUCAAACAAAGAAGUGAGAUUUUUGCAAAUGCCUUUUUUUUAAAAAAAAAGAAAGUAAAGUAUUUCACAGCCUCUGAGCUGUGAAAUAUGAGGCUCUCAUUAGCUGCACUGAGAAUUCCGUCACCACUCCAGCUGUUGACUGUUUACUAUGGAAGCUGGUGCUGGUGGUAAGCAGAGAAAAAUGCUUAUUUAGUUAGAGCUUUCCAGGUAAAGAUUUUCUUUGAGGUUGAUUUGAACAUUUGCCUAUUAUGAGAAAAGGCUAUGCAUUAUUCAAAUCAUGAAAAAACUAUAAGAAUUCUCCUCAAUUGUUCAGUGUUUUGUGAAAUAAAAUAACUGCUAGUAUUUAAAGGAAAAUUCCAUUACAUUAAUUAACUUUAAAAAAUUCAUUUGCUAACACAUUUUUUUUCCUUGAAAGAUAUUAGGAAAUCCCAAAUCUAAUUGUUUAGAAAUACAUUUGAGUACAUUUGUGAAUACUUCAUUCAUAACCAAACUAAGAUUUUGCUUUCAGUUUUGUAGUUAUUAUAUGGUCUAGUAUUUAAAAUCUAAAGUGGAUUAAAUUAUCUUAAAAAGAGCUGUCUACCUUCCAUUGACCUCUGGGGACAUCUUUUUUGGUUGUGUUUUAGUGAGGGUUUUUUUUGUUGUUGUCAUUUAUUUAUUUUUGUUUCUUGGUUUGUAUUUUUUUGGGGGGGUUCUUUUUUGGCCCCACCUGUGGUAUAUGGAACUUGUUGGGCCAGGGAUCAAAUCCGAGCCGCAGCUGCAACCUACACCACAGCUGUGACAACACCAGAUCCUUAACCUGCUACACCACAGAAAGAACUCCUGGGGACGUUUUUUUUGAACAUUUAUUUUCAUGAGAUAUGGGUGUGCCAUAUAGUGGCAAAAGCCCCAACUCUCAGCUCUGUGUAAUUCAAACUUGGGUUCAAAUCCUUGCUUGAGCAUUUAAGAGAUGAACAACUUUAGCCAAUUUCCAGACCUCUCCUAGUUUGUUUUCCCACUUAUCAUCCAAGUACAAUGAUUCCAGCAAGUUGAUUGAGUCAUGUUAAGCCCAGGGUGAUUAAAUGAUAACUUUAUUUAGAAGUGGCACAUCCAAGUAAACUGUGUGGCAGGAUAAAGCAUGACUUUUUUCCUUCUUUGUAUUUUCUAAUUUUUCUACUGUAAAGAAUAUGUCAUUUUUUUAAUCAGUAAAAAUAAAGAUUGUACAAUAUACUUACAAGAGGCAAUAAAAAGGAAUCUUUUUGAAAAGCAGGUUGAAAUAUACUCUGUCAAAGGAAAGGAUUAUCUAUUCUGUGCCUAUUCGCUGCUGUCCUCCUUGCCUCUCAAACUGAAGCCUCUGGAAACAAAUUCUGCCAUUCCCUGGCACACACAGGUUUUCCGCUUGUGUAGCCAAGAAGUGCAAGAGCCAUGUUGUGAGAUUUUCAAUUUGAUCGUCUCACAUGAGGGUACCAGUGUUUUCAGACUGGAAACAGCAUGUUACUACACUUUGGCAAUAAUGCAUUAAAUACAGAUGGGUUUGUUUUUAGCCAAAUAUGUAUCAUACAGCCAACAGCUGUUUAGCUAUUGCCAACGGUCUGUUUAGUACACAGAGAAUCUGUGAGUUUCUUUUUUGCUCAAGAAAGUCUAGUGGAUCUGUGUAAAAGCCUCACAAGGAUAUCCAACCUGCCACAUAACAGGAGACGGAAACCACGAGUAAUUGACCAAAGCCUACAAAAAUUUUUUCUCCCAAAUUAUAAAACCUAAUUUAUAAUAAUGGGUAAGAUUAGCAUGCUUUUUUCCCAUUUUUUCCCAAUUUGAGGUAUAAUUGAUUUACAGUAGUAUAUAAAUCACAGGUGUACAACAGUGACUCACAAUGUUUAAAAUUUAUACUCAUAUAUAGUUAUUAUAAAAUAUUGGCUGUGGUGUACAAUAUAUCCUUGUAGCCUAUUUCUUUUAUACAUAGUAGUCUGUAUCUCUAAUCCCCUACCACUAUCUCACUCUCCCUUCCCUCUCCCCAUUGGUAACCACUGGUUUCUUCUCUAUAUCUGUGAGUCCCUUCCUUUUUGUUAUACUCACUAGUUUGUUUUAUUUUUUAGAUUCCACAUGUGGUGGCAUACAAUAUUUGUCUUCCUCUGUCUGACUUAUUUCACUAAGCAUAAUUCCCUCUGAUAUUAGUAUGCUUUUUAAUAUAUCCAAGUUUUAAUAUAAUUCUAGAUCCAUUUUCAUGGAUAAAUUCAAUGGAUAAAGAAUACCUUAUAAUCUCAGCAAUCGUGCAAUCAAUAAUCAUAUUUGGUAUUUAUUCUUUAAAAGUGUGACAUAUUGAAGAGUGUGAGUAGUCAAAGGGACAGAGAUCAUCCCUGCUCCAUCCCUCAAAUUUUGGGGAAUGGAUGAGUACCAAGUACAGUAUUUCUCAUUGUCUGGGUCUUAUUUUACUCUUUAUUAAAAUCAUCUGGAGACCUACUAUUAAAAAGGCCAGAAUGUAUUACCUGAAAGGUAGGAAAUGAAAAUAGGAUUUUAUUCUAUGAAAUUCAUGAUUUGGAGCUCCUGUUGUGGCUCAGUGGAAAUGAAUCUGACUAGCAUCCAUGAGGACGCAGGUUCAAUCCCUGGCCUUGCUCAGUAGGUUAAGGAUCAUGCAUUACUGUGGCUGUGGCUUAGGCUGGCAGCUACAGCUCCAAUUCGACCCCUAGCCUGGGCACCUCCAUAUGCCCUGGGUGAGGCCCUAAAAAGACAAAAGAAAAAAAGAAUUAAUGGUUGAUUUAAUAGAAGACUCUCACAUGUCACAAUAUAAAGUAAAACAAAAUUUAUUACUAUAUUACUUGUACAAGGCCUUCCCUCCCCCUGAACCCCCAACUUCUUUUGUAAACAUUGCUUUAAUACCUGAAGCAAGUCAAACCAUUUAUUACAUUCUGUAUUUUAGGGAUACUGCCACCAAGUGGUUGUACAGAAGCAUGAUUACAUUUAAACUCCAAUCUUUGUUGACCAUGAGACCAUAUACCGUGCCAUCUUAGCAUAUACUGUUCUUCCCUGAAAGGGAUAAACCUCAAACAUUUUAAGCAGUCACCCAGUGUGAGAAUCAGUUCUUACAUCAGUUUGAACUCAUAGAGUAGCAUUAACUCAUAACCCAUAUAUGAGUAAUCCAGAUUUUGUGGGUCCUAAAGCUUAUAAAAUCAGGGGUGCUCUGAAGAAUACAAAUUCACAUGUACAAAAUUAUUCAUGAAAAGGAAUAUUUAUCUUCAAUUAGAAAUCAAAUAGUCAUGAAUUAUUUAAGGCUUGGAGAACCCCAUGGGUAUGAAAGCUCUAUGGGCAUUUUCUCCCCCAAACUCACUAAGAAAUACCUCCUAUUUGCAGCAUGGCCUUCCUUCACCUCCUCACUCACUUGAAAGCACCUCACAGCUUCCAGCAUUCAUCAGGGUCUGUGCAAGGGAGGAGCAUGGAAACUUAAGUUUUAUUAGCUUUAUGAUAGACCUAUCAAAAGAUAAGACUUUGGCAUUUUUCUCCACAUGUUUGUAGCUGUGAGGCUAACCUCUAAAAUGAGAAUGAGCCUCAUUUUAAACCUCUGGUUCUCCACCUCAAGAUACUGACUUUACUUUCUAUCUCCCCCAUAAGUAUUGCUAUCACUAUUUAUAGAAACCCCAAAAUUUAUGGAGUUAUACAUCCCUCGAUAAUUAUUCCUUAAUUCCUGAAUUCUGGGCACUUUGGCAGCUCCCUCAUGAACUCCUGCCCUUUGCUCUCUAGUUAGAAAGUAUUUCUUUGGAGUUCCUGUUCUCAGCGGGUUAAGAAACCCACUAGUAUCAAUGAGGAUGCAGGUUAGAUCCCUGGCCUUGCUCAGUGGCUUAAGGAUCCGGUGUUGCCACAAGCUGUGGUACAGGUCACAGAUGCAGUUUGGAUCUGGCGUUGUGGUGGCUAUGGUGUAGGCUGGCAGCUGCAGGUACAAUUCGACCCCUAGCCUGGAAUUUUCCAUAUGCAGCAGGGGUGGCCCUAAAAAGAAUAGAAAAAAAAGAAAGGAUUUUUUUUUUUAUCUUUUCAAAUCAAUAGCUUAUCAACUAAUUGCCUGGUUCUUACCUAUAGAACUAAGAAAGCCUUCUGGAAGGACAUAUUUUGGUGGUAAAGGGCAUCGAGGAGGAGGGAACAAAGGUUAGAAACUAUCCCCAGGACUUUCUGGAAAAUCUAAAAUCACAUCUGUCUCUAAUUAAUGGUAUUUUCUCCUCAUGUUAAAAAUCUUAAAUGAAGACCAAAUAUUUUGUUGGUUAAACAAUUUCUUACAUAAUAUUGGCACAUGUUCUCAACUCUGGUCUAGGUUAUGCUAUUCCUUGCACUAGAGUAGAUAAUAUUUUCCCAUUGGAAGGAAAACUGGAAAUAAACUGGUUUUUAACAUGCGUUUUGUUACUAGGCCCUUCCUCUGUCUCAGGCUUCCUCUCUUUGGUUUUUCCUGUUCACCACUUGAAGAGGUCUUCUCUUGGGACCAGAAAGUGGGACCACUCCUAAAUGUAAACCAAACAUAUGUAUUUGGAUUAGGAGUUCAUCCUUUUAGGGUCCAACUGUAAACAGAAAGAGAUGGUGAGAAACAGCCAAAAAAGAUAUUGCUCUUUGAUUGGUACUUUUUUGUCUUUGUGCCUUCUAAAAGUCUACAGAUUUCUAGAAGGCACAGAGAGGGGCAAAAAAGUGCCAAACAAAAGCUGAACAAACUCUUUUCUAUUUACAACUGAUACUGAAUAUUUGAAUUUUGUAAAAACUAAGAAUUAAUGAGAGAAAUAGUAAAUUUCAGAAUCUUUUUUUUUUUUUCAUUUAAAGGCAAGGUUUAGCAAAUACAAUUUGCAUGUAAAUCAACAUUUACCUGACACAUGGACUUUUCACAGCUUGAAUAAACUGUGACAUGAAAAAGAUGAAAGACAUAGGACGUGUAUAAAAAUCUUUAAAAGGUAAUUGGCAGACACUUGCAAUAAAUAUUUAUUAAGCAAAGAACUGUCCUUUUCUGUUUUUGUGCCACUGUGAUUCCUGCCUCAUCUCUGUCUUCUUCCUACUUUCUCAUUAAACAUGACUUCCCUUUCAUGAUAGAAUUCAGACCACAUUCUGAUGGCAGAGGAGAGAGGAUGAAGGAGCCUUAGGAAAGAGGCUUUUUUUUCCCCUUUCUCUUAGCUGCUUUUUGAAGCUGGGACAAAACUAGUGCCUGAAAAGUUUGAAAGGAGAGAAGAGCAUAAAUGAGAAGAUGGCUGCACUUUUAAAUUAUUCUCAUUUUGUCUGUUUUGUGACUGCUCCUUGAACUCUAACAAUCCCUAUCUUUGAACACUGUGCAAAGACUAUUACAUCAAGAGGGAAAUCAGGACUUAAAGUCCAAUGGCCUCAUCAACAUAUUUGAAGUAAAGGAGAAAGCCAAGUUAAAGAGUGCCCUUUCUCUCCUUGGUUUGUUGUGAACGGGUUCUGUCUGGUUGGCUCAAUGGGUGCUGUCCAACUAUAACACACCAAGAGCUCACUGAAAUAUAAGCCCCACCAAAACCCUACAAACCCUUGCAAAGUUGCCUUAAAAAAUUGUUUUUGUCUUUAGCUUACUAUGUCUUUUUUCUUUUCCUCUCCUGUUUGAUUAGCAGUCUUUUAUGACAACAUCCCUUGCCACAGCUAACCUAUGCCAUGGUUUAAAAAAUGUUCUCUUAUUUUUAAUAGUUUCUUUUAAAUAGAGUUAUUCUAAAAGCUCUCCUCACCUCAUUGAUGAAGUCUCUUCCAACCAUUAAAAUGAGAGAGGAGUCUAGUUCUCACAUGGCUUAGGGGGUUAAGGAUCUGGUGUUGUCACUGUUGUGGCUCUGGUUACAGCUGUGGCUCAGGUUGAGCUCCAGCCCAGGAGUUUCCAUAUGCCAAGGGCAUGGCCAAAAAAAAAAAAAAAA
ensembl:lncRNA